rnacentral:rRNA from 1 species
GAUGAACGCUGGCGGCGUGCCUAAUACAUGCAAGUCGAGCGAACAGACGAGGAGCUUGCUCCUCUGACGUUAGCGGCGGACGGGUGAGUAACACGUGGAUAACCUACCUAUAAGACUGGGAUAACUUCGGGAAACCGGAGCUAAUACCGGAUAAUAUAUUGAACCGCAUGGUUCAAUAGUGAAAGACGGUUUUGCUGUCACUUAUCGAUGGAUCCGCGCCGCAUUAGCUAGUUGGUAAGGUAACGGCUUACCAAGGCGACGAUGCGUAGCCGACCUGAGAGGGUGAUCGGCCACACUGGAACUGAGACACGGUCCAGACUCCUACGGGAGGCAGCAGUAGGGAAUCUGCCGCAAAGGGCGAAAGCCUGACGGAGCAACGCCGCGUGAGUGAUGAAGGUCUUCGGAUCGUAAAACUCUGUUAUUAGGGAAGAACAAAUGUGUAAGUAACUAUGCACGUCUUGACGGUACCUAAUCAGAAAGCCACGGCUAACUACGUG